AAAGAUGAUUCUCUGUGACAUAUACACUGGGAAUGUCUUUGAGUUUCCUCAUUAUAUUUAAUAUCUUUUCAGAUCCUCGACACACUGAUUCUCCUUUUCCAUCCUGCGUCUGAUGUUUAUGAACUUCUGUGGAAGCUUAUUCUUCUUGCUGCCUCCUGGGGAGUUUCUAUUUUUCUCUUGUUCGUCUGGAGGACCGUCCUUGCUGUAAAGCCUCCAGUGUGUCAAGUUACUUUAAAGCAGAUGACUGAGCAGAGCAAGAAUUUGGAGAAUGAAAACAGAGAACUUGCAGAAAAUAUAUCUGCUUGGGUGCAGAAGACCAACAACGCAAAGAAAUGCUUAGAGGAGGCCAUCAGGCAAAA